rnacentral:rRNA from 1 species
UCCAUUGAACCUUAUCAUUUAGAGGAAGGAGAAGUCGUAACAAGGUUUCCGUAGGUGAACCUGCGGAAGGAUCAUUGUCGAGACCGAAAUACAUCGAGUGAUUUGCAGAAACCCGUCAAAAUAAGCGGUGGCUAUUGCUGCCGCGAUAAAAGUCAUCCUUGUCGUUGCCUUGUCCCCCCUUGGGGGGUGGGCCUGCGAUGAAGGCUGGACGAACACUCAAAUCGGCGCAGCGUCGCGCCAAGGGAUAUCAAAACACGAGCCCUUACAUGGGUUUUGUGGCAUGGGGUGCUAUUGCAUGCCAUAUGGAUUGAAAUGACUCUCGGCAAUGGAUAUCUCGGCUCUUGCAUCGAUGAAGAGCGCAGCGAAAUGCGAUACGUGGUGCGAAUUGCAGAAUCCCGCGAACCAUCGAGUCUUUGAACGCAAGUUGCGCCCGAGGCCAACCGGCCAAGGGCACGUCUGCUUGGGCGUCAAGCGUUAUGUUGCUCCGUGUCAACUCCAUCCCAUGAACGGAUGGGCUGGCGAAGACUCGGAAGUGUAGAGUGGCUCGUCGUGCCACUUAGUGCGGCGGGCUGAAGGGUGGGUCAUCAUCUCGUUGGCUGCGAACAAUAAGGGGUGGAUUAAAGUGAGGCCUAUUUAAUUGUGUCGUCUAUGCCUGAGAUAAGAUUAGGCAUUUUUAGGUGAUCCCAAAUCAUGCGUCGAUCCACGGAUGGCGUUUGGAAUGCGACCCCAGGAUGGGCGAGGCCACCCGCCGAGUUUAAGCAUAUCAAUAAGCGGAGGAGAAGAAA